rnacentral:rRNA from 1 species
GCCUACGGGAGGCAGCAGUGGGGAAUAUUGCACAAUGGGGGAAACCCUGAUGCAGCGACGCCGCGUGAGUGAAGAAGUAUUUCGGUAUGUAAAGCUCUAUCAGCAGGGAAGAAAAAAGACGGUACCUGACUAAGAAGCCCCGGCUAACUACGUGCCAGCAGCCGCGGUAAUACGUAGGGGGCAAGCGUUAUCCGGAUUUACUGGGUGUAAAGGGAGCGUGGGUGGCAGGGCAAGUCAGAUGUGAAAACCCGGGGCUCAACUCCGGGAGUGCAUUUGAAACUGUCCAGCUAGAGUGCAGGAGAGGG